rnacentral:rRNA from 1 species
AACGAACGCUGGCGGCAUGCCUAACACAUGCAAGUCGAACGAUGCCUUCGGGCAUAGUGGCGCACGGGUGCGUAACGCGUGGGAAUCUGCCUUUCGGUUCGGAAUAACUCAGGGAAACUUGAGCUAAUACCGGAUAACGUCGCAAGACCAAAGAUUUAUCACCGAAAGAUGAGCCCGCGUAGGAUUAGCUAGUUGGUGAGGUAAAGGCUCACCAAGGCGACGAUCCUUAGCUGGUCUGAGGGGAUGAUCAGCCACACUGGGACUGAGACACGGCCCAGACUCCUACGGGAGGCAGCAGUGGGGAAUAUUGGACAAUGGGCGAAAGCCUGAUCCAGCAAUGCCGCGUGAGUGAUGAAGGCCUUAGGGUUGUAAAGCUCUUUUACCCGGGAAGAUAAUGACGGUACCGGGAGAAUAAGCCCCGGCUAACUCCGUG